UGCGGGAUAGAGCAGGGGUAGCUCGUUGGGCUCAUAACCCAAAGGUCGGAAGUUCGAAUCUUCCUCCCGCUACCA
rnacentral:tRNA from 1 species